GACAGAGGGUGCAAACGUUUGUUCGGAAUUACUGGGCGUAAAGCGCGUGUAGGCGGCUAUGUAAGUCGGGCGUGAAAUCCCACGGCUCAACCGUGGAAGUGCACCCGAAACUGCGUAGCUAGAGUCCUGGAGAGGAAGGUGGAAUGCUUGGUGUAGAGGUGAAAUUCGUAGAUAUCAAGCGGAACACCGGUGGCGAAGGCGGCCUUCUGGACAGUGACUGACGCUGAGGCACGAAAAGUGUGGGGGAUCAAACAGG
rnacentral:rRNA from 1 species